CUCGGUGUGUGUGUGUGUGUUGUGUGGCUGGUCCUGGAUUCUGGGGUUUACACUCAUCUAUAUGUGUGUGAUUUCUGUAAAUGCCUUUUGGUUAGUGUUGCCACGUUUAUCUUCUCCUUUGUUCUCUACCUCUCCUGUGUCUGUUGCCCAGAGCUGUGUUAGUCACCCACGCUCGCUCGCUCCGGUCCGUGGCCACCAUUUCGGGUGGGCGGGCCCUCGUGACUAGUCUACGUUUGGGGAAGACGCACGGGACCCAAGUCCUCGUGGCAGUCGAACACUGCAGACAUUCCUAUUUCUUUUUCUCUAUAUAUCUGUCUCUUACACGUGGCUCUCUUUGUUUGGUUAAGAUGGGGCAGGAACACGCUAGACCUGCUAAGGGAG